rnacentral:rRNA from 1 species
CUGCUAUCGGGGUGAGACUAAGCCAUGCGAGUCGUGCGCCCUCGGGUAUGCGAGGGCGCGGCGCACGGCUCAGUAACACGUAGCUAACCUACCCUGAGGAGGGGGAUACCCCCGGGAAACUGGGGUUAAUCCCCCAUAGGUCUGGAUACCUGGAAUGGGUUCAGGCCAAAAUGGAUCUGCGCGCAUCCUGCACAGGUCCGCCUCAGGAUGGGGCUGCGGCCCAUCAGGUAGUUGGCGGGGUAAAGGCCCACCAAGCCGAUAACGGGUGCGGGCUCUGGAAGGAGGAGCCCGGAGAUGGGCACUGAGACAAGGGCCCAGGUCCUACGGGGCGCAGCAGGCGCGAAACCUCCACAAUGCGGGAAACCGCGAUGGGGUUACCCCGAGUGUCGCCCGCUGAGGGCGACUUUUCUGGGGUCUAAAAAGCCCCAGGAAUAAGGGGAGGGCAAGUCUGGUGUCAGCCGCCGCGGUAAAACCAGC